AGAGUUUGAUCCUGGCUCAGGACGAACGCUGGCGGCGUGCUUGAUACAUGCAAGUCGAGCGAACUUAAGAGGAAUUGGUUUACCGAUACUUUUUAAGUUAGCGGCGGACGGGUGAGUAACGCGUGGGCAACCUGCCCCGAAGUCUGGGAUAACACUGUGAAAGCGGUGCUAAUACCGGAUAAUGUCCAUGGGACGCAUGUUCCGUGGAAGAAAGCCGAAAGGCGCUUUGGGAUGGGCCCGCGUUCCAUUAGCUAGUUGGUGGGGUAAGGGCUCACCAAGGCGACGAUGGAUAGCCGGCCUGAGAGGGUGACCGGCCACACUGGGACUGAGACACGGCCCAGACUCCUACGGGAGGCAGCAGUAGGGAAUUUUGCGCAAUGGGGGAAACCCUGACGCAGCGACGCCGCGUGAGUGAAGAAGGCCUUAGGGUUGUAAAGCUCUGUUUUAAGGGACGAAUGUUACAGGGAGUAAUAUGUCCUGUAAAUGACGGUACCUUAAGAGGAAGCCCCGGCUAACUACGUGCCAGCAGCCGCGGUAAGACGUAGGGGGCGAGCGUUGUCCGGAAUUACUGGGCGUAAAGAGCACGUAGGCGGAGACUUAAGUCAGGUGUGAAAGACCGGGGCUCAACCCCGGGGUGGCACUCGAAACUGGGUCCCUUGAGGGCAGGAGAGGAAAGCAGAAUUCCUGGUGUAGCGGUGAAAUGCGUAGAAAUCAGGAGGAAUACCAGUGGCGAAGGCGGCUUUCUGGACUGACCCUGACGCUGAGGUGCGAAAGCGUGGGUAGCAAACAGGAUUAGAUACCCUGGUAGUCCACGCCGUAAACGAUGGAUACUAGGUGUGGGAGGUAUCGACCCCUUCCGUGCCGCAGCUAACGCAAUAAGUAUCCCGCCUGGGGAGUACGGUCGCAAGGCUGAACUCAAGGGAAUUGACGGGGGCCCGCACAAGCGGUGGGAGCAUGUGGUUUAAUUUCGAUGCAACGCGAAGAACCUUACCAGGUCUUGACAUCCAAAGAAUCCUAUCGAAAGUAAGGAGUGCCUUCAGGAGCUUUGAGACAGUUGAUGCAUGAUGUCGUCAGCCUCGUGUCGUGAAUGUGGCAGUUCCCGCAACGACCAUCCUACCUGUGUUACAGUCCGUCAGUGGGGACCUCUCACGAGGACUGUCG
rnacentral:rRNA from 1 species